GGGAGAGGGAGACACUCAUUUUUACAGACCCUGUGGGGAAGUCAACUCUUUGCACAGCUGAUGUUAUGAAUUUCUGUUCUUCAGAAGGUUGCUCCUCCUACGAGUCUGCACUUGACCCAAGGAUCUGGAACCUAGCUGGCAUCUUCAUCUCAAAGCCACAUGCCCAGGGAGCCAGGGCCCUCCACACGCUUCUUCUACAGUUCACGAUGAGGAGAGGGGAGAGAUUGGAGAGAGAAGACAAGAGACAACCUAUUUCAUGAUGUUGAAAUCUUACGGUUUGAAGAGACCUUUCCAGUCAUCUACGAUGGUUCCCAAACACUGCUCCAUAACAAAGUUUUCACCAUCCUACAUCAGCCAAGGAUGGUGUUGUGAGUUUUACAUAAAGUAAAACAUAUCAAUUUAAUUUAUCCUAAAGUUACAUAGCUCACUUUCUUAUUUCAUAUUAAAAUGCCCUUUUAGGAGGAACACAUGAGAUCAGGAGUUUGAGACCAGCCUGGCCAACAUGGCAAAACCCCAUCUCUACUAAAAAUACAAAAAUUAGCCAGGCGUGGUGGCAGGUGCCUGUAAUCACAGCUACUCGGGAGGCUGAGGCACAAGAAUCACUUGAGGCAGAGUUUGCAAUGAGCUGAGAUGGUGCCACUGCACUGCAGCCUGGGUGACAGAGUAAGACUCUGUCUCAAAAAUAAAAAACAUUUUUAAAAAAAUCCCUUUUAGGAAAUGGAAAUGAUAAAAGAUGGCAAUAGAUAUUUUACCCUUUUUUGAGGGGGAAAAAAUGUGGUAUGUCCAUGUUUGGUGUGCAAUUUUUUUUUUUUUUUUUUUUUGAGACAGAGUUUCACUCUUGUUGCCCAGGCUGGAGUGUAAUGGCUCGAUCUCAGCUCACAGCAACUUCUGCCUCCCGGGUUCAAGCCAUUCUCCUGCCUCAGCCUCCGGAGUAGCUGGGAUUACAGGCAUGCGCCACCACGCCUGGCUAAUUUUGUAUUUUUAGUAGAGACAGGGUUUCUCCAUGUUGGUCAGGCUGGUCUUGAACUCCGGACCUCAGGUGAUCAGCCCGCCUCGGCCUCCCAAAGUGCUGGGAUUACAGGCGUGACCCAGCACGCCCGACCUGGUGUCCAAUUUUUAAACAUUAAUCUGAGAGCAAAACCAAUCUACAGUGAAGAAAAUAUUUACUGGCUGCCUGGGCCUGGGAGUGGGCUGCUGCAAAGGGCUACGAGGCAACUUUUUGGAGUGAGAGAAAUCUUCUCUAUCUUGAUUAUGGUGGUGGUUACACAUAUAUUUGCCAAAACUAUAUACGUAAAUGUGUAGAUUUUAUUAUAUGUAAAUUAUACUGCAAUAAAAUUGA
rnacentral:lncRNA from 1 species